rnacentral:lncRNA from 1 species
GGAAGCUCCCUCUCGCUGUGAUCCUUGCGUCUUUCCGGCUCCGUCGUGGAAGCAGGACUAAGCCGCGUCUUUCUGAAGGUGCUCCGAGGGACGACCGAGGUUCCGGAUGUGAGAGCGGCGUGGAGACUCGGGCCCGAGGUGAGGGGCGGCCGGACAGGAUCUGAGGGCGAGGUCGCACUCCUGUCGGACUGGGGAUUGGGCCAUUGGAGUCUGGAGUCAGGGAGGUGGGAUUCCAGGACUAGGGCCGUACAGCUGUGUCCGAGCAGGGACUGGGCCCUGGGGAUGAAGUUUGGGAUCAGCGAGGCGGGAUCUGAGGUCGAAGGCCACACCCGGGGGUGAGUGAGGAUGGGACCGUGAGACUAGGGUUUGAGGUAAGCGAGGCCAAUCCGAGGUUGAAGACCGGACCCCCGGGGUGGAACUGCGGGGCUGGAGUUUGGGGUCAGCGAGGCCGGUACGAGGUCGGGGACUGCCCCUGCGGCGGCGUGGGGGAUCGCGGUCGGAGGUUUGGGGUCCGACCGGCCAGGUGUGGACAGAGGGCCGCGUGCGGCAGUCGGUCCCCGGGCACCCAGGGCGGCGCUGGGCUCCUUGCAGGGAGCGGGGCUCACGUGGCGGAGGCGCCGGAGUUGCACAAGAUGGGGCGGGACGGCUCCGCCCUCCUCCCACGCCCGCCCGGCCCCCGCGCUCGGCGCCCGCCGCCUUUUCUUCCUCCUCGUGGCGGCGCGUGUGCCGGAGCGCCGGUCGGCCUUGCUCUCGCGCGCGUAGGGAUCCAGUGCUUGCGUCUUGGGUUAAGAACAGAAGAUGCACCUGGACUUCCCGCAGAGCCAUCUGUGUUUUUAAAGCAUCAGGUGGAAUUUGGGAUUCUCUGGCCGUAAACCACGCUUGCUUGAUGAAAAUAGAAAUCAGUUCUACCUUCUUCAUUGGACAAUUCAUUACCUACCAUAAGUCUCCCACUGAAUACAUCCUUGUGGUUCUUUAAGGUAAGCUAUUUAAAGAAGUUAUUUUCAGUUAAUAUUUGAUUUGUGGAGCAGAAAUAUUAGGAGUCUGAAGUAAAGGAAAACAUUUUUUCACUAGCUUUAAAUCCACAUUUGAGCAGCACCUUUUCAACUGGUUUUAGUUAAUGAAAAGUCUUACAAUUUCUGAGAAAUGGAGUACAAAACUGAUUCUGGAUAAAAAUAGGCAAAUAGAUGUAGUAAGUGUAGGCAUAUGUUCAGAAAAGAAUCCUCUCCUUGUGUUCACUUUUUGAAAAAACAAAUACUAAGGGUUUUUCUCAGUCAUAUAAAGGAAUUUUUUUUUUUUUAAUGGGACUGGGGUUUGCACUCAGGAAUUCAUGCUCACAAAGCACUCUUAACAAUUGAGCCGAACCUCAAAUCUAUUUUACUCAGGUUGUUUUGAGAUGGGUUUUACCUAUUUGCCCAGGUUGGCCUUGAACCACAGUCCUCCCAAUCUCAGCAUCCCAAGUAGCUAGGAUUACAGGGGUGAACCAUGACUACCUAGCCAAUGUAAAGUAAUUCUUUCAUGAAAUGUUUAUGUUCUUUUUAUACUUCUCUUGCGUGUCUUUUUAGCUUAGUUAGGCUGCUUUAAUCCUUUGCUAAUCUUUUUGGCCUGCUGUGCCCACCUGUGCUAGGGAUGAGGUCAUGAUAGACAACAUAAUACUCUGUCCCCAGUAGGUUCCCAAAGCGGUUGUGGAGAUACUUUUUAAACCACAAUAGGAGUGCUAUGAGGGUAUAGGGACACCAUAUAUAGGUUACAGAGAAUGGGGAGAUCUUUUACAAAGGUGAUAUUGGAGCUGAAACCUGAAGGAUUAGCAGGACUUACCUAGACAGAAGGUUGAACAGAGUGUAUUUGGAGGGAGAAACACAUGUGUCACAUCCCUGAGGGAGCAGAGAAUAUUGAAAUUGCCAGGCGUGGAAGAGAAAAAAAAUAAAAAGGGAAGUGAUGUGAGCUAGAUAGGAGGA